UUAAUGUGGAUAAAUAUUCUGUGAAUUCUGCCUAUCUCAACAACAGUUGUUAAGUUCCAAAUUCCAAAUUCCACAAUCACAUCACUGUAUUUCCUCCACUGUAAACACACCAUUAGAGGUUUUUAUCCUUACAUUUAUUUAUUUCUCUGUCUGAAGAGGUGGCAUGUGCAUCCCACAGCGUACAUGUGGAGGUCAAAGAACAACUUACAGGAGAACAGAGUUUUUAGCAGCAAGCAUAAAGUGCAUCUCAGUUCCCAUAGCACUGGGCUAUGGGCAGAAGGAAGGAUAAUAGUGACUACGCUUCAAGAGAGAUGCUUGAUGCAGCCUCACUGCGGGAAGAACGGAGGGUGCAGGUGAGUGUGCUUCAAGAGAGAUGCUUGAUGCAGCCUCACACUGCGGGAAGAACAGAGGAUGCAGGAUGAGAUGCAAAUGGGUCCUGCUCAGAAUGUGCAACCCAGGCUGCAGCUUGAGCAAAAAGAAAUGUUCCUUUGGCUGGCGCUGUUGACUGGGGACGGAAGGGGCUUUCUGUGGGCACUGCACUUCACCUAUCUUUGUAAGUCCAGCUAAA